AGGAUGAUGCUUUUCCCGCUGGCUGUGAAGACACGGCCCAAGGCUGCGCAGUCACACGGCUGAUGUCCCUGGAGGGCUCUUGUCCAGAGUAUCCAGGAAAUGCUUCGAACCUCGGGGGAACUUUUCCAGAAGACGAGCUUUGGGAAGCCCGUAAGGAAUCGUUUUCUUUUCUAUCACUCUGGGGCUGACACAGUCAACAAUAACGAAGUGAUGGCAGAGCCCUACCGCUGCGGUACCAAUUUCACGAAGGCACCGAGAGUGAAUCACAAUGCACAUUUUGAAUCAUAUCUGACUGGUGGCUCUGUUAUUCCGAGCGCCGUGCUA